UACGUAGGGUGCGAGCGUUGUCCGGAAUUAUUGGGCGUAAAGGGCUCGUAGGCGGUUUGUCACGUCGGGAGUGAAAACUCAGGGCUCAACCCUGAGCGUGCUUCCGAUACGAGCAGACUAGAGGUAUGCAGGGGAGAACGGAAUUCCUGGUGUAGCGGUGGAAUGCGCAGGAUAUCGAGGAGGAACACCGGUGGCGAAGGCGG
rnacentral:rRNA from 1 species